UGUACACACCGCCCGUCACACCACGAGAGUUUGUAACACCCGAAGUCGGUGGGGUAACCUUUUUGGAGCCAGCCGCCUAAGGUGGGACAGAUGAUUGGGGUGAAGUCGUAACAAGGUAGCCGUAUCGGAAGGUGCGGCUGGAUCACCCCCUU
rnacentral:rRNA from 1 species